UACGUAGGGUGCGAGCGUUAAUCGGAAUUACUGGGCGUAAAGCGUGCGCAGGCGGUAAUGCAAGACAGAUGUGAAAUCCCCGGGCUCAACCUGGGAAUUGCAUUUGUGACUGCACGGCUAGAGUGUGUCAGAGGGGGGUAGAAUUCCACGUGUAGCAGUGAAAUGCGUAGAGAUGUGGAGGAAUACCGAUGGCGAAGGCAGCCCCCCUGGGAUAACACUGACGCUCAUGCACGAAAGCGUGGGGGAGCAAACAGG
rnacentral:rRNA from 1 species